rnacentral:rRNA from 1 species
GAUACCCUGGUAGUCCACGCCCUAAACGAUGUCAACUAGUUGUUGGGGAUUCAUUUCCUUAGUAACGUAGCUAACGCGUGAAGUUGACCGCCUGGGGAGUACGGUCGCAAGAUUAAAACUCAAAGGAAUUGACGGGGACCCGCACAAGCGGUGUAUGAUGUGGAUUAAUUCGAUGCAACUCGAAAAACCUUACCUACCCUUGACAUGGUCGGAAUCCUGCUGAGAGGUGGGAGUGCUCGAAAGAGAACCGGCGCACAGGUGCUGCAUGGCUGUCG